rnacentral:rRNA from 1 species
AUUGAACGCUGGCGGAAUGCUUUACACAUGCAAGUCGAACGGCAGCACGGACUUCGGUCUGGUGGCGAGUGGCGAACGGGUGAGUAACAUAUCGGAACGUAUCCAAUAAUGGGGGAUAACUAAUCGAAAGGUUGGCUAAUACCGCAUACGCCCUACGGGGGAACGCAGGGGAUCUUCGGACCUUGCGUUAAUGGAGCGGCUGAUAUCUGAUUAGCUAGUUGGUGAGGUAAAGGCUCACCAAGGCGACGAUAAGUAGCUGGUCUGAGAGGACGACCAGCCACACUGGAACUGAGACACGGUCCAGACUCCUACGGGAGGCAGCAGUGGGGAAUUUUGGACAAUGGGCGCAAGCCUGAUCCAGCCAUUCCGCGUGAGUGAAGAAGGCCUUCGGGUUGUAAAGCUCUUUCGCAAGGGAAGAAAACUUACUUUCUAAUAAAGAGUGAGGUUGACGGUACCCUGAUAAGAAGCACCGGCUAACUACGUGCCAGCCGCCGCGGUAA